CUGGGAUUACAGGUGUGAGCCAUUGUGCCCGGCCUAAUCUCAACGUUUUAAGAAAGUUUAUGAAUUUGUGUUGGACUGCUUCAAAGCCAUCCUAGGCCGCAGGUUGGACAAGCUUGCUUUAUACCUCAUAGUUAGAGAAGGUAAUAUUUAGCAAGCAGAGUUGUUAAAGAGGAAGGCCUUGGCUACUCAGGUUAUAUGACAGAUAGGAUUCAUUUAGGUCAAUGCAAGGAUCCAGGGGAGAGAACCUCUGUUUACUUCAUUUGUCUCCCCAUCUCAAAAGGACUAAUAUCCUUGUAAAUAGGAGUGUGCAGAGCUGUUUGAGAACACUGCUCGUCACUUCCAAACCCCACAGGCUGAAUGAUGAUUGCCCUCCUGAUCUCUAAGAAAUGGAGUAUGUUAGGGCUUAGGCCUGGGGCCCUUUAUCUUCUCUGUCUUCAUCUCUUCUUAGGUGAUCUCACCCAGUACCAUGCUGUCAAUAAGCUGAUGACUCCCAAAUCUAUAUAUCCAGCCCUGGUUCCUCUCUGGGCUCCACUCAACAUCUCCUCCCCAACCUUCCUCCUCUCAAUGAAAAGCACUCAAAUGCCCAGUUGCUAAGACCAAAAACAUGGUCAUCUUCCCCUUCCUGGACUGUUGCAAUGGUCUCUUCCCCCCGUCUCUGCUUCCAUUCCCAUCCCCCAACAAUAUAUUCUGCACAGAACUGUGAGAGAUGAUCAUACGAAAUAAUAUAAGGUUUGAGAUGUACUUCAAAAGAAUUUGAGAAAUAGGGGGCUAGAUGGGUAUAGAGAUGAAAAGAUUAUCCAUACAAUGAUAAUUAUUGAAGCUGACUGAAAAGGGUACAUGGGGUUCAUGAUACUAUUUUCUCUACUGUGUUUGUUUGAAAUUUUCCAUAAUAAAAAAAGUUGAAGGAAA
rnacentral:lncRNA from 1 species